GAGGAAGGUGGGUAUCGUUAAUAGCAUACUCAUUUGACGUUUAGCUGCAGAAGAAGCACCGGCUAACUCCGUGCCAGCAGCCGCGGUAAUACGGAGGGUGCGAGCGUUUAAUCGGAAUUACUGGGCGUAAAGCGCAUGCAGGUGGUUUGUUAAGUCAGAUGUGAAAGCCCGGGGCUCAACCUCGGAAUUGCAUUUGAAACUGGCAAACUAGAGUACUGUAGAAGGGGGUAGAAUUUCAGGUGUAGCGGUGAAAUGCGUAGAGAUCUGAAGGAAUACCGGUGGCGAAGGCGGCCCCCUGGACAGAUACUGACACUCAGAUGCGAAAGCGUGGGGAGCAAACAGGAUUAGAUACCCUGGUAG
rnacentral:rRNA from 1 species